CGGUAAUUCCAGCUCCAAUAGCGUAUAUUAAAGUUGUUGUGGUUAAAAAGCUCGUAGUUGAACCUUGGGCCUGGCUGGCCGGUCCCCCUCACCGGGUGCACUGAUCCAGCCGGGCCUUUCCCUCUGUGGAACCCCAUGGCCUUCACUGGCUGUGGCGGGGAAACAGGACUUUUACUUUGAAAAAAUUAGAGUGCUCCAGGCAGGCCUAUGCUCGAAUACAUUAGCAUGGAAUAAUAGAAUAGGACGUGGGGUUUUUUUUUGUUGUUUUCUAGGACCGCCGUAAUGAUUAAUAGGGACAGUCGGGGGCAUCAGUAUUCAAUUGUCAGAGGUGAAAUUCUUGGAUCUAUUGAAGACUAACUACUGCGAAAGCAUUUGCCAAGGAUGUUUUCAUUGAUAAGGAACGAAAGUUAGGGGAUCGAAGACGAUCAGAUACCGUCGUAGUCUUAACUAUAAACUAUGCCGACUAGGGAUCGGACGAUGUUAUUCUUUGACGCG
rnacentral:rRNA from 1 species